GUACUGCUGAGGAGUCCCAUAAUAGGACGAAACGGCAGUCCAGUGU
rnacentral:hammerhead_ribozyme from 1 species